rnacentral:rRNA from 1 species
AUUGAACGCUGACGGCAGGCCUAACACAUGCAAGUCGAGCGGAUGAAGGGAGCUUGCUCCUGGAUUCAGCGGCGGACGGGUGAGUAAUGCCUAGGAAUCUGCCUGGUAGUGGGGGAUAACGUCCGGAAACGGGCGCUAAUACCGCAUACGUCCUGAGGGAGAAAGUGGGGGAUCUUCGGACCUCACGCUAUCAGAUGAGCCUAGGUCGGAUUAGCUAGUUGGUGGGGUAAAGGCCUACCAAGGCGACGAUCCGUAACUGGUCUGAGAGGAUGAUCAGUCACACUGGAACUGAGACACGGUCCAGACUCCUACGGGAGGCAGCAGUGGGGAAUAUUGGACAAUGGGCGAAAGCCUGAUCCAGCCAUGCCGCGUGUGUGAAGAAGGUCUUCGGAUUGUAAAGCACUUUAAGUUGGGAGGAAGGGCAAUAAGUUAAUACCUUGCUGUUUUGACGUUACCAACAGAAUAAGCACCGGCUAACUUCGUG